AUGCAAGCUACUGACAUAACCAGGGGCGCUGAAGUGACAGAGUGCAGCGGAAAAUGGACAUCCGGAGUGGCAUACAAAAGGCAGUGGAGCCCCUCCCUACCUCUCUCCCCUCCUCCCCUCAACAGCCGGAGGACAGCCAGGCAGAGCGGAGCGCCAGGCCCACCGCUGACAACCACAGCAAGGACACCCAGCCAGCCGCCGGCCACCGAGACGACAAAAAACAGACUCUGUUUCUCCACCCUCAGCCUCUCUGAUGGACUGUCUCCACCACCGUGCAACAAAUACUCAAAAUGUAAAUCUGAAGGAUGGCACCCUGAGCCUGAGAUGGUGUGGCUGGACAGUAAAAGAGUAAAUCUCAAAUGUGAAAACUGUUCAAGGGGGCUGUCAGGAGAAACAGUUUCACAUCCAAGGCUACAGAUGGAGAGACGGGAGAAGUUCGUCAUAAGGUGGCUGCAGCUUGCACCAGACAGAGACGGACGCAGGAAGGAGAGGACCGAACACAGCAAGGAAAGGGCAGAUAGACCCCGAGAGAAAUAGAUACAUUGACAUACACGCAGACAUACAUGGGAUAAAGGGAGGAACACUGACUCUUUGUACAUUAUCUGGAAAUAAUGGACGACUUGGUACUGCCCGAGUUUAUUAGUUCCAAGUAAUGUACAGAGCAGAGGCGUUUAUCCCGCUUAUUCCACGGUUGCCAAAGAAAACAAGACCACAUUUACUGGUAAAAAUGUACAUGUUUUCUUUGAGAUUAGAAUUUUGAUAAGUAAAUUCAUGCUAUUUCAUCCUUCCAGUUGUGCUAUCGGUUCAGUUGAUAGAGAAGCGGACUUGUUGUUCAUUCUAUUAAUUUGAUUGCUAUGCAGGCUGGCAAUGUUCUUAUCCCUUACUUGCUAGUUGGCCAACUAUGGCUAACCCAGUCGCUUCAACUAUGCACAGAAUAACAUCAAAGUAGCUGCAUUUUGCGUUUUUUUUUAAGCUGUUUUCUAGUGACAUUUAUUUGGAUAUGUCCAUGCUACUGUACAUAUGUAGUACUUGUUGAGGGAUGACACGCACACAAAAGUAAAUUUCAUAUAUUUAAAUAAAAAAGGUAAAAUUAGAAAAUGUCAUGUCUUUUUUUAUGCUUAUGCUGUUCAUAGUUCGGUUGAUAGCUGCAAUAUUACUUCCUCAAUUUAACAUCAUUAUUAUUUUUUGAGUGUGUGUGUGUGGCGGGGGUGGAGGGUUGAAUCGAGUGGAUCUGGGCCAAUUCUGUCCCAAAAAUGGCAGCUUUGGCUUAGUUCAGGCUGCCAGAUCUGGGCCGAAUUACUCUGGCCUAGUCUGCCGUCAUUCAUUUCGGACUCGGGCGAAAUCCAGCUGCCAGACCCAGGCCAGCAGUUUUAGAUCUGGCAUGUCAGAAUCAGGCCAGAUGUGGGCCAGACAUUUGUGCUACCUGGGAGAUGAAGAAGUGAUCUCUUAUCUUUGUUGUUGUUAGUGAGAGGGGCUUGGUGUGUGUGUAAACCAGAGGAAGAGAAGAAGUAAGAAGUUUCACUCUCACUAAAUUCCGUCCCAAAUAAGCCCAAUGCGUUGCUAUGGGCUUGUUUUGGACCUAACUUGUCUCCUGCAUUCCCUCCUUUGGGACAACGACUCCCAUUGUUAGGGCGGAGUCGUGCAUUUCCUCAUUUUAUACAGAUCUCUGGUGUAAAUGGAAAGGUGCACACAGCACAGGAGCGAAGGAGACGAGAAAACAUGAGAACAAGUGGACAAACGUUCAUAAACUCAAAAACGACUUAAAAACGGGAUUCUUGCAAUACAGGCAUUUGGAAUAUCGUGCAAAAACAUAAAAUUGGAAUUCAUCGAAUUAAAUCGAUAUAUUGCCCAGCCCUACUACAACUAGCUUUUUGCCUCUAUUUUCAUACUCAGGCUGUCAAAAAAAAAUCCCACAAAUUUUCCUGGGCUGAAAGACAGCAUGUAGAAAAAGGUUCUCCGUGUACAGUGUAUUCUGACACAAACAAUAAAC
rnacentral:lncRNA from 13 species